rnacentral:rRNA from 1 species
AGCUCCAAUAGCAUAUAUUAAAGUUGCUGCGGUUAAAAAGCUCGUAGUUGAUAUUCUGGCAGGGUCGACUGGUCCACCUCCUGGGUGAGAAUUUAGCUUGGCUCGGCCACUUUCUGGCGAAACUUUUUCACACUUGGUUGUGUGAGAAGCUGCUCAGAUCUUUACUUUGAGGAAAUUAGAGUGUUUCAAGCAGGCGCACGCCUUGAAUAUGUGAGCAUGGAAUAAUAAGAUCUUGCCUCGACUCUGCUUUUGUUGGUUCCCUUUGUUGGGGUAAGGAUUUGUAGGGCCAGUUGGGGGGCAUUCGUAUUUAACUGUCAGAGGUGAAAUUCUUGGAUUUGUUAAAGAUGGCCCAGUGCGAAAGCAUUUGCCAAGAAUGUUCUCAUUGAUCAAGAACGAAAGU